CCCCAAAGCCCCCGAAUGGACCC
rnacentral:miRNA from 1 species